UGCCUUAUUAUUAAAACAAAAACUGGGAUAAGCAUACACACAAAAAGAAACUUAUUCAUGGAUAAGGUUCCAUAAAAGCACAUUCAUUUUUUUGUUGUUUAACAAACUUGGUGAUAUAAAUGUAGAUUCAGUUCAAGCAGAAUUAUUUAUUCUUAUCAUCAGUCAGCUCAGUGUUGAUAUUUGUGUACCAGCAGUUAUUUUUGUUAAGAAAGGGACCUUCAGUAAGAACAAUGACACUGAAGAUGAGCCUCACUGCUCCGGCCUCGUCUCCACUUUGGAAUGUAAUUAAAACAUUCUUGCUAUUGGAGGCUUUCUGCUCUCAGGGCUGAGUGGAUUAAAGCGUAAUUGCUCCCACGCGGCAACAUUUAAAUGCUGAUGUCAAGAAUUUGUGUUCCCACGUCUUGAGUUAUUAGUGGAAAAGGACAAACGCAGUUUUUAGAGGAUGAGAUAACUGACGGGGAGGGACAGGUGCUUGGUUGCGUCUGAGAAUCCCAGUUAAACUUUUCCACGCACCUCCUUAGGAUGAACAUUCUGACAUUAUUGUGCUGUUCUUGUAUGUGGCAGACAACACAUCAUCUCCAAGGGGGGUUAUGUUUCAGUAAUAUAAAUCUUCUGGAGCCUCGUCAGAGUGAAGAUGGACUAAUUGAGGUCUUAGAGGAGCAGAAAACAGAUCUUGGUGCCUAUGAGAGUGUCUCAUGUCUGUCUCAUCCCACAGUGCCUGUGCACAACAUGAGGACAGCAGGUGGCUCCAGUAUAAUCAAAGCACUCUGGGUUGCUGGUGGCAAGGGACAACUGUGUCUAUCAGCAAAGAAAGGCACCAAAUGACCGCUAUUAAUAGAAACACCCUGUGCUGUUCAACAACAUGAACAAACAGAGCGAUAUAGUAAAACUCCUGUGUGUUUAAACUCAAUGCAACGGCCAUCAAAUUGAUUGUUUUUUGCGAGGAGGCUGGCAUCCUGCUAAGACACUUUUAAAAUAAAAGUUGCUUAGUAUAAAUAAUGAACCAGAAUCCAUAAUAAGAUGAUCAUUUGUUGUGUUCAAAUCAAACCAGUGCUUCUCCUCAGACUCAUGAGUCAUGAAGUUUUUCUUAGACAGGAACAGUCUGUGCAGGAGGCCGUGGUUACACAGCGACCUCAUGUGGUCAGACCUGAGCAGUACAGUUAAAUGUGUCAACAGUGUUCAAACAGGAUAUUUGCAUCUGGUUCAAAAGCAUUUAAGUGAGUAACAGAAAUAGUAAUCCAUAACUCAUUUACUUCCAUGUUGAUUACUGAUGCUGUCUCAGUUUAAACUGUUUUUAAAAAUUGUUUAUACCAGUUUGUAAAUGCUCUGUAAUGUUUCUUUGCUGACAGAUGAACCAGUUUUUAGAAUGUGGUUAAAUACACUGUACAAUAUAUAAAAAUCUGAAGGGGAAAAUGUUGUUUUUUUUCUUACUUUAUUAUUAUUAUCAUCUAUAGUGUAACGUGAUUACUCUCUGUGAGUUUUAGAAUGAUAACAAAUAAAGACCAGAGAAGUGAAAUAUCAAUGCAAGCUGCUAUUCAGUUGUGUUAGUCCCAUUAAUAUUGAUUUAUUUUAACAAGACAGAUUGAUUGAUUACAGGGUGCAGUAAAGGACCCCAACCAGGAAUCAGCCCCAGAGUCUCUGUUUAUGGGAGGCCUGCUCUACCAAUGGGGCUAAACAGCCUAAACCAGACCAAUGGAUCUCUGGUUAGACCAGGAAGUCAGGCAAAAUAAGUCCCCCCCACAGACAUUUUGACGGAUGCAGGCGGUGCGCGCCUAAAGGGGCGGUCUUAAUUCGUUUCCCGCGCGAAGUUAGGGCAUUUCCCUCCAAAACUUAAAAGCCCAAUAUUAAUGGCUGCGGGAUCUUCACUCUGGACAGCUCUUCUCUGAGGACACACACACGGUGAAUAGUGGGACUUGUCUUUAGCUUCAGGUGGAACACCUCUGACCUGUAUGGUGAUUACACCUGGAGAGGAGAGACACCUGGUCCAGUAAGGUGACGGACGGUUUAAAGGACAAAUCAUCAAGACGAGACGAGCCCUCACAGGAGCCUGAAGGAAAAGUAACGAGAGCAGCCAGGAGCUGAAAGUGUGGGCAGAGGAACAGGAUGCUGAGGACGAGUUGGAAGACGGUUCCCUGAACUGAAUCCUGAUUUCCCGUAAUGGAGUUUUGUGGACUGACAGUUUGCUUGGUUGGUGCUCGGCCCAGGACUGGAGAGACAACUGGUCCAACAAGGUGACGGACGGUUUAAAGGACAAAUCAUCAAGACGAGACGAGCCCUCACAGGAGCCUGAAGGAAAAGUAACGAGAGCAGCCAGGAGCUGAAAGUGUGGGCAGAGGAACAGGAUGCUGAGGACGAGUUGGAAGACGGUUCCCUGAACUGAAUCCUGAUUUCCCGUAAUGGAGUUUUGUGGACUGACAGUUUGCUUGGUUGGUGCUCGGCCCAGGACUGGAGAGACAACUGGUCCAACAAGGUGAUGGACGGUUGAAAGGACAAAUCAUCAAGACGAGCCAAACAUUGGAGACAAGCCGCCACAGGAGCCUGAAGGAAAAGUAACGAGAGCAGCCAGGAGCUGAAAGUGUGGGCAGAGGAACAGGAUGCUGAGGACGAGUUGGAAGAUGGUUCGCUGAUUUCCCGUAAUGGAGUUUUGUUGACUGACAGUUUGCAUGGUUGGUGCUUGGCCCAGGACUGGAGAGACAACUGGUCCAACAAGGUGAUGGACGGUUGAAAGGACAAAUCAUCAAGACGAGCCAAACAUUGGAGACGAGCCGCCACAGGAGCCUGAAGGAAAAGUAACGAGAGCAGCCAGGAGCUGAAAGUGUGGGCAGAGGAACAGGAUGCUGAGGACGAGUUGGAAGACGGUUCCCUGAACUGAAUCCUGAUUUCCCGUAAUGGAGUUUUGUGGACUGACAGUUUGCUUGGUUGGUGCUCGGCUCAGGACAGGAGAGACACCUGGUCCAACAAGGUGAUGGACGGUUGAAAGGACAAAUCAUCGAGACGAGCCAAACAUUGGAGACGAGCCGCCACAGGAGCCUGAAGGAAAAGUAACGAGAGCAGCCAGGAGCUGAAAGUGUGGGCAGAGGAACAGGAUGCUGAGGACGAGUUGGAAGACGGUUCCCUGAACUGAAUCCUGAUUUCCCGUAAUGGAGUUUUGUGGACUGACAGUUUGCUUGGUUGGUGCUCGGCUCAGGACUGGAGAGACACCUGGUCCAAUAAGGUGACGGAUGGUUGAAAGGACGAAUCAACAAGACGAGCCGCCACAGGAGCCUGAAGGGGACGUGCAUCAGUGACGGAGGUGAGACCGCUUCCCGUGCGUACCUUUCCGAAGCUGCCUUUCCCGAGCAUCUUGUGCAGGACGAAGUCAUCAACGGUGAAUUUGGGGUGGUGGUGGUGAUCCUUCUUGGGAACAGCGUACAGAGGCUCCUCGUCCGACACCUCCUCAGCGAGCGGCCUGAUGAUGUCAGCCGGUCCGUCCCACGAAACACCUUGUGGCUCUGCAGGAGGAGGAGGAGGAGGCAGGUGUAGCUGUGGUUGUUACACCCGUUACUAACCCAGACGGCGCUCGCACCUUUCCAGGUUGGCUAACAGUGACUGGACCUUCUCGACCAAUAAUGUCUGAUUCUCUGACGCUUCGUGCCUGAAGUGUUUUUUUUCCUCUCGUACUCGUCGCCUGCAGCUGCAUGAAGACGAUCAGCUGGAGCGUUACUGGAGUGUUUAUUCUUCACAUAAAGGACGUACCGGCAACGUCACGUACACCCGAGAGCUGAAGAUCAACGCCCUCGUACACACUGACGGCAGCAGUGUUUUGGUUUCUAUCAGAAUAGGUUUACUCCUUCCAGCUGCUGUGACAGCUGCACUGAUGGGAAACACUGUUGUGACAGCUGCUGGAAGUAUAUCAUCUCAUGCUGGAGACUAAAUAAUUGUUGCCCUUGGUGAUUCUGAAACUGAAGGAUUAAAUGUUCCGUUACGGUCUGAAAAAAACGUUUCUAGCGCUCAAGUUUCAUUAAAUCUUAUCUAAAUCUAC